AUUGAACGCUGGCGGCAGGCCUAACACAUGCAAGUCGAACGAGUGGCGGACGGGUGAGUAAUGUUUGGGAAACUGCCUGAUGGAGGGGGAUAACUACUGGAAACGGUAGCUAAUACCGCAUACCAUCGGAUGUGCCCAGAUGGGAUUAGCUAGUUGGUGGGGUAAAGGCUCACCAAGGCGACGAUCCCUAGCUGGUCUGAGAGGAUGACCAGCCACACGGGAACUGAGACACGGUCCAGACUCCUACGGGAGGCAGCAGUGGGGAAUAUUGCACAAUGGGGGCAAGCCUGAUGCAGCCAUGCCGCGUGUAUGAAGAAGGCCUUCGGGUUGUAAAGUACUUUCAGCGGGGAGGCGUUACCCACAGAAGAAGCACCGGCUAACUCCGUGCCAGCAGCCGCGGUAAUAC
rnacentral:rRNA from 1 species